CUGCAAACGGUUAACAUUAAUUUGUUAAGAAAGCUAGUGGUAGAAUCAGGAAAAAAAAAAAACAUAGUACAUCUUAUAAAUAGGUCUGAAAUAUGCUUCGGGUAAGAAAAUAUUUCAUUUAUUAAUAUAAUACUUUAUGAUAACAACAUUAAAUACAACUUAGCAUAGUGAUUAAAACUUUAGUAUAUAUACUUGAGGUCUUGAGAUCAAACCAUAUACUAUGCAAUUUCUUAAUUUUUUAAUUUUACUGUACAUGGAUUACAUGAAUUAAAACUCACUCGGAGAGCACCACGUGACACAGUUUCUUGUUUUAGCACGUCUUUUAAUAUAUUUGUAUAAAUUAGUACAUCUUGUAAAAAAAAGUAUAUUUCACUUAAAAUACACUACUUUUCUGUAUACUACUUUUUUUGCUAUAGAUACCACUUAAUUAAAUCUUAAACUAACCGCGGUAAUUGAUGGUAACAAUUUUUCUUUCUUUGCAUUUUUUAAUUAUCAUUUUAUUUCUUAUUUACAAAAAUGCUAGACUUGAAGUAACAGCAUAUUUAAUUUUCCCUUCACAUUUUAAACAGAUCAUUUCAAAUAAUUGUAAUAGAGCUAUCCGCUGCUGAAGUUACCAUUAUAAAAUGGACUUAAUCUAAUCUUGUGUCCUAAUCACAAUAAGGAAAAAUUAACCUGAUCAAUUUAUUAUUAACCGCGUCCAAUAAAACUCUUAUAUCGCAAGAUGGUCCAAAGUGCAAUGAAAUUAAACCUUUGUGGUCGUGCUCAUAAUGUUGUUUCCUUCUAAUUUCGUUAGUGCUUGUGCUUCCUUGAGUCAAUGGAACGUCAUAUUUGACGACGAUUUUCUAGGAAAAAUAUAUUGUAUGUGCACCUUUUUGACAUAGUCCUCGUGUUAUCCGGUAGGUCGUAGGUGUUAAUUAUGUAAGAAGAGUUUUGAACAGGAAAUUGCUCUUGUCCCGAGCGGUACGUCCUGUAUUAUUUAUCAACAUAUAUUUGAAGUUUUUCAAUAUAGAAAUAGUAUCUUGUUUUUAGAUGAUUUUUCUCUCACAAAGACCAACAUGAGUAUUGUAACAUAGUUAGUGCAUUAGCAUAUCACUUCCCUUGCAACAGCUCAGCAGAGCCCUUUUUCUCCUUCUGCGAUUCGGUCUCUAACUUCACUUUCCCUUAGCCUAUCAGCGAGCCACAUUGCUGCUGAUCCAAGCCAUGUCUCGUUCCCUCCUCUUCCUUGUCUCUUAUCCAUCCCACCCAACCAAUCACUCUAUGCGCAAUCGUUCCCAAUCCGACAUUUUCAAGCCCAAUUCUAAGUAGGUUAGCCUUGCUCUUGUCACUUCCUCCACUCCUCACAUUUCUCCUCUUCCUCGUUCUCUUUUACGUGCCUUUAAUGAGCAUAGCUGGUAUAACGCCAUGUGUAAUGAAUAUAAUGCCAAGAUUGACACUCAUACUUGGGAUUUGGUUCUGAGUCCUACGGAUGCUACUAAUGUUCGUUGCUAAUGGGUUUUUACUCAUAAGGAGAAACCGGAUGUACUUUUGAACGAUAUAAGGCUCAUUUAGUGGUUAAUGGUAAAAGUGAGGAGGUUGGGUGGAUUGUGGUGAGACAUUUAGUCCGGUGGUGUGCCCUACUAUGAUUUGUAUUGUGUUGAGUUUGAUAGUCUCUAGACACUGGUUUAUUGAUUAGUUGGAUGUGAAGAAUGCAUUUCUUCACGGUGAUCUUGAGGAGAUGAUUUACAUGCAUCAACCUCUUGGGUUUGUUCAUCAUGACAAGCCUAAGCAUGUGUGUCUUCUUCUAAAGUCUUUUUAUGGUCUGAAACAGGCCCAUGUCUGGUACCAUUGAUUUACGACUUAUAUUCUCUCUUUGGGUUUUUAGAACAACAAGUAUGAUACAUUUCUGUUUAUUUUCAUACGGGGUUCGCAACUGCUUAUCAUCUUCUCUAUGUUGAUGACAUCAUCCUUACUUGUUCGUCUGAUGCUCUCUGGAUAUCAUUGCUAUACUUAGUUUGGAGUUUGCGAUGAAGGAUCUUGGUCCUUUAUCUUAUUUCCUUUGUAUUUCUGUCUCUCGUAUCAAGGACAACGGAAAUAUGCUAUGGAAAUUCUUGCUCGUACUGAUAUGUUCUCUUAGAUAUUCUCCACUUUCAUGCUCUUAAGCGUACAAUUCGAUAUCUUAAGGGUACUGUUGACUAUGGCAUGCACUUAUCCUCGGCUCCUACUAAGGGUCUUGUCUCCUAUACUGAUGCUGACUGAUCAGGCGGGUGUCCUGAUACUCGUCGAUCUACCUCGAGUUACUGUGUGAUUUGGGUGAUAAUCUUAUUUCCAGGUCUUCAAAAAGACAGGCUACUUUGUCUUGGUCUAAUGUCGAUGCAGAGUGUCGAGGUGUGGCUAAUGUUGUUGUCGAGACGGCUUCGAUCCGUAAUCUCUUACUUGAACUUCAUUGUCCACUGAAGCGAGCUACAAUGGUGUAUUUUGAUAAUAUUAGUGUUGUUUAUAUGUCUCGUAACCCAGUGUAACAUUAACACACUAAGCAUAUGGAGAUGGACAUUCAUCUUGUUCAUGAGAA